AGGGAUCUCCCCCUUCCGUCGUAAUAAUGCCAAGUCGGAAGAUGUGGCAAAGAUGUCGGAAUCGAGAGGACAAGUGAGAGAGAUGACAUUAAGGCUUUCCGGUAUGCUUCAUCACCAACGCACCCAUCCGUGGAAACAGAUGCACUUACUUGCUUGUUAGAGACAUUGGCUGUGAUUUUGAAGUACAUCAGAUGCCGCUGCCGCAUUCAAUCAAAAGUGGCAUCAUCGAGAUCUGUGGAGGUGCCAUUAGAUUGCAGGUUUGCGUCUUCAAAGAAGGUUCUGUAACUUUACACCGACUCCUCCCAUGGUUGAUGCCAUCGGAAGCACACGUUGAGUGGGCUGCGCACCUCAUCCCCAUUACUUUGGGACAUACGCAGAAUAUGCAAUCAGAAUAUGAAGGUAUAAGAAUCUCCGAGAGUUUGGUGAUGAUGUAUGCAUACGUUUCUUUCAUAUGGAGCUUCUUAGACAUCUCGUGAAGAAGAAGAAUUAAAAUGGUGCUGAUGACAUGCAUCUUAUUUGACCUUUUCAGAUCGUAGGCUGCUGCUGGCUCACUAUUUUGCAUACAACUGCAUCAUCCUUUGGGAGUUCCAAUGAGCUGCUACAGAAA
rnacentral:lncRNA from 1 species